rnacentral:rRNA from 1 species
UACGUAGGUGGCAAGCGUUGUCCGGAAUCAUUGGGCUUAAAGGGCGCGUAGGCGGCGGUGUAAGUUGGAAGUAAAAUCCCAUCGGCUCAACCGUGGAAUUGCUCCCAGUACUGCAUCGCUCGAGGGGGAUAGGGGUUUGCGGAACUACCGGUGGAGCGGUGAAAUGUGUUGAUAUCGGUGGGAACGCCAGUGGCGAAAGCGGCAAACUUGACCCUUCCUGACGCUGAGGCGCGAAAGCUAGGGGAGCAAACGGG